rnacentral:rRNA from 1 species
CCAGUAGGCGGCCAACUCAGUCGGAUGUGAAAUCCCCAGGCUUAACCUGGGAACUGCAUCCGAUACUGGUUGGCUUGAAAUCGGGAGAGGGAUGCAGAAUUCCAGGUGUAGCGGUGAAAUGCGUAGAUAUCUGGAGGAAUACCGGUGGCGAAGGCGGCAUCCUGGACCGACAUUGACGCUGAGGAGCGAAAGCUAGGGGAGCAAACG